AUGCGCAUCGUCGAGCCCCCGCGCUUCUCCAGCAUCACCGUCCCGGCGCUCCAGGUCGACACCAGCGCCGGCCCCGACCCCGACAGCGACGUCGCGCAACUCCUCGUCGGCCGCGUGUGCUCCGCCAGCGCCGACGGCCUCCUCCUUAUCGUCAUCUACGAUCUCCGCGCCACGGCUCCCAUCCUCGCCAAGCAGGGCGCCAAUCAUGUCCGCCAGCUGACCGGCCUCGUCCGCGGGCACACCCCGGACACCACGCGCUUCCUCUACAACCCUCUCACCGGCCAACUGACCCGCCUCCCGGCCAUCGACGUCGGCCCGUGGCGGCUCGUGUGCGGCCCUCACAUGGGCGUCCUCACCCAAGCCGGUCGCGGGCACGGAGACGGACCUCCCGACAGGGUCGCCGUCGCCGAGCUGCAGGGGAACAGGAUGCUCCGCUUUCUCUCGGACACGGGCGAGUGGGACGUCGCGGUCACCACGCCGUGCCAACUCCCGGGCGUCCGGCGGUUUCACUCGGAGACGGGCAGGAGGUUCGACCAAGAGGCGUUCGCCUUCGGCGACCGGCUGUGGUGGGCUGACCUGAGCUGGGGCGCACGCCCAGGGCCGGCGCCAGGGUGGCUUGACCUGGAGGGUUUUGAGGCCCUGUCCAAAGACGCGCCGGCAGUGGGCAGGUACCGGCGCGUGGGGGUCAGCGAGGGAAGGCUGCGCUACGCCGAGGUGUGGAGCCGGGAGCCGUUCGUGCUCAGCUCCUUCACGCUCGACGACGAGGGCAGCGGCUGGACGCUGGAGCACCGCGUGGUGCUCAGCCGGCUCUGGGCGGAUGGAGACCACCCAUGGCUGCCCUUGCCGGAGAAGACGACGCCACAAAUUGUCGCUCUUGACCCACUGAACGGCAAUGUCAUCUACCUGAAGGUCGGCAGGCACAGCAUCGGCGUGGACAUGAGCAAGGAGGAGGUGAUUCGGAGCUUUCUGGACAGAGGAGCCGGGUGCAUACCAUGCGUGCUUCCACCGUGGCUUGAAUCCAGCCGGAACUCUGCCGCAGGUAAUCAGUGUGUGGAAACUCGGACAAAGUCAUCCUAUUUAUAUUAA
rnacentral:rRNA from 1 species